rnacentral:rRNA from 1 species
CUACGGGACGCUGCAGUCGAGAAUCUUUCGCAAUGGGGGAAACCCUGACGACGCGACGCCGCGUGGAGGAUGAAGGUCUUCGGAUUGUAAACUCCUGUCAGCAGGGGAGAACAAGCUGUUCAUUAAUAAUGAAUAGCUUUGACAGUACCUGCAGAGGAAGCCACGGCUAACUCUGUGCCAGCAGCCGCGGUAAUACAGAGGUGGCAAGCGUUGUUCGGAUUUAUUGGGCGUAAAGGGUCCGUAGGCGGCCUAGAAAGUCGGAUGUGAAAUCCCACAGCUUAACUGUGGAACUGCAUUGGAAACUUCUAGGCUCGAGUGUGAUAGGGGUAAAGGGAAUUCCCGGUGUAAGGGUGAAAUCUGCAGAGAUCGGGAGGAACACCAGUCGCGAAGGCGCUUUACUGGAUCACUACUGACGCUGAGGGACGAAAGCCAGGGGAGCAAACGGGAUUAGAUACCCCGGUAGUC